rnacentral:hammerhead_ribozyme from 1 species
AGUUAGCUGACGAGUCCCAAAUAGGACGAAAUGUGUGUUUUCCUAGAU